GGAAUUUAAGAGAUCAAAUAACUUUCAUUAGAAAUAAAAUUACCUUUUUUUUUUUUUUUUGCUAGCUUUGCUUCCUUGAAGAGGCAGACAAAUAAUUCAAGCCACUGAAUUCACACAGAAAAGCAAAAUUAAGACCUCAACGAAUUUGCCAUCAUAGGCUUUGAAAAUGGGGUUUAAUAUCUCAUGACAUCUAAUACCUACAGAUCAGCCUUUCAAGAAAACGAUACCAGGAAUUUUGCAGAGCACCUGUUUUCAGGCAGACUAUUUGUUUCCAAGACAGCAUAAAUCACCAAGUGUCACUGAGAAAGUGAGGAGAAAAACAGAAAGGAGCACCAGGGAGAGCACUGCAAGAGCUCUUCCAAAGCAUGCAAAGCUUUCUAUGAAUUGUGAAAUUAAGAUGACAGUGUUACAGAAAUGGAGGAAACAUGGAACAUUUGAAGGCCCACUGACUGCAUAUGAGAAGAUAGCAGAGAAAAGCAGCAACCAUCAUAUGCCUUAA
rnacentral:lncRNA from 1 species